rnacentral:lncRNA from 1 species
GGCUUCAGGUCAGAGCUCAGAUUCCUCCAGGGGGUGUCUCUGGAGGCCUCUCAGGCUCAUUUCUUCCAGCCUUACACUAUGGUCUCUCUCUGUCUUUGUCUCUGUCUCUCUCUCUCUCUCACACACACACACACACACACCAGGUUGACUCUUGUCCUCGUCUCUUGUUUUUUUAUAGUAUUCUUUUCUACUAUAAACAUCAUCCCACCACCCUCCCCAGGCCUGGUUAACUCCUUCAUCUCCUCGGGUCUCACCGUCUCUUACUUUUCGCUAGGAGAUAUUUCCUUACACAAUAUGGAUGGGUGAGUGAUCCCAUGCUGAUCUGGAGGGCAGGUUCUGCGUCAUGAUAUCAUCCACUGGUCCAUCCACUCCUGCAUCCCCAUCCCCCAGUGUGGUACCUGGGACACAAGAGGGGCCCAGUCUACAUCAGAUAAAUGGAUCCAGAUCAGAAAGUGUCCCCAAAGCUGACUGGAAGAAGAGCAAUUUGGAUGGGUCGGUCAUAACCUAGGGGACAGAGGUAAAUAUCCACUGUUGGUUCGAUGCCCCCCCCCAUGGGCGCUCUAGUGGGGGAAGGGGUGUUCCCAUGGGAACACGGGGAGCUGGGGCAGAGAAUGUAAGACACAGAGAAAUUCUCCAUCUCCUAAAAACUGGAGACUGCAUUUGAGGAGAAGACGGGGGUGGGAGCAGAGGCAGGGGUGUCACUAAGAGUAGGUUUCAGAGAAUUCAGUACCCAUCCUGUCUUCAUGACCUACUGCUCUUGGCUCCAGAAACAGUUAUUUCAUUAGAGCAUAAAAGCCUCUGUUCUCUAAGAGUUCAUCUCGAACCGCUAGCAACCCAGCGAGGAGGGCAGUAAAUCUUCGCCUACGGCAAUUUCAUUCCUGCCCUAUCGGCCCGAGCCCUAUCUUGCCAACACAAGGCUUCACCGUGGAGCUUCGGGAAGGAGACCCAUGAUCUGAAACUUCAGGAACCUAUGUAAUACACGCUGCUGGCAGAGCCCGAGAAAUGGUUCAAAAAUCCAUUAGUGGGCUGGCGAGAGGGCUCGGUGGGUAGAGGUGCUUGCUGUCAAGUCUGACAGCCUGAGUUUGAUCCCCAGGAUCUGUGUGGUGGGAGAAAACCCCAGUCCCCUUCAACUAUGUACAGACUAAAUAAAUAAGCAAAUAAUUAU